rnacentral:rRNA from 1 species
AACGAACGCUGGCGGCAGGCUUAACACAUGCAAGUCGAGCGCGUAGCAAUACGAGCGGCAGACGGGUGAGUAACGCGUGGGAAUCUACCCAACCCUACGGAAUAACGCAUGGAAACGUGUGCUAAUACCGUAUACGCCCUUUGGGGGAAAGAUUUAUCGGGGAUGGAUGAGCCCGCGUUGGAUUAGCUAGUUGGUGGGGUAAAGGCCUACCAAGGCGACGAUCCAUAGCUGGUCUGAGAGGACGACCAGCCACACUGGGACUGAGACACGGCCCAGACUCCUACGGGAGGCAGCAGUGGGGAAUUUUGGACAAUGGGCGCAAGCCUGAUCCAGCAAUGCCGCGUGCAGGAUGAAGGCCUCGGUUGUAACUGCUUUGUACGG